rnacentral:rRNA from 1 species
GGGGGUGGCACAGACCAGGGGGUAGCGACUGUUUACCAAAAACACAGGUGCAUGCGAAGGCGCAAGCCGCUGUAUAUGCACUGACGCCUGCCCGGUGCCGGAAGGUUAAGAGGAUCCGUCAGUCCCUUUUGGGGUGAAGCGGUGAAUUCAAGCCCCGGUAAACGGCGGUGGUAACUAUAACCAUCCUAAGGUAGCGAAAUUCCUUGUCGGGUAAGUUCCGACCUGCACGAAUGGCGUAACGACUUCCCCACUGUCUCGACCAGGAGCUCGGCGAAAUUGCAGUACGAGUAAAGAUGCUCGUUAAGCGCAGAAGGACGAAAAGACCCCGGGACCUUUACUAUACCUUGGUAUUGGCGUUAGGCGCGGAUUGUGUAGCAUAGGCGGGAGGCUUCGAAGCAUGGGCGCCAGCCCGUGUGGAGCCGCAAGGUGAAAUACCGCUCUGUUCUCGUUUGACGUCUAACCUCGAACAGUCAUCCUGUUCAGGGACAGUGCCUGGCGGGUAGUUUAACUGGGGCGGUUGCCUCCCAAAGAGUAACGGAGGCGCUCAAAGGUCCGCUCAGCCCGGUUGGCAAUCGGGUUUCGAGUGUAAUCGCACAAGCGGGCUUGACUGCGAGAACGACGGUUCGGGCAGGGACGAAAGUCGGAGAUAGUGAUCCGGUGCCGGCGCACGGGCGCGGCAUCGCUCAACGGAUAAAAGGUACCCCGGGGAUAACAGGCUGAUCAUUCCCAAGAGUCCAUAUCGACGGGAUGGUUUGGCACCUCGAUGUCGGCUCGUCGCAUCCUGGGGCUGGAGCAGGUCCCAAGGGUUCGGCUGUUCGCCGAUUAAAGCGGCACGCGAGCUGGGUUCAGAACGUCGUGAGACAGUUUGGUCUCUAUCCUCUGCGCUCGUUGGAAUCCUGAGGAGGCCUGCCCAUAGUACGAGAGGACCUGGGUGGACGGACCUCUGGUAUGCCGGUUGUCGCGCCAGCGGCAUGGCCGGUUGGCUACGUUCGGGAGGGAUAACCGCUGAAAGCAUCUAAGCGGGAAGCCUGCUCCAAGAUUAGGAUUCCUUGACGCUCCCCGGAGCGCCUGUAGCCCGCAUGUUGAACACGUGUUCGAUAGGCCGGAGGUGGAAGCCCCGCGAGGGGUGGAGCCGACCGGUACUAACGGGCGAACGCGGCACACU